AGUGUUUUUGAGUAGCGGGAGGGAAUAGCUAUUCUCUCCCGCUGCAACGGGAGGGAAUGAUUCCCUCCCGCACGCUUGAAAUGAGCAGCUUGCCAUUCACUUUAGAGGCAUGGAAACGGGUCUUUUUCAUGCACAGAUCGGAAGACGUCG